AGGAUUAACGCUGGCGGUAUGCCUAACACAUGCAAGUCGAACGGGAAUACUAAUUAAAGAGAAUCUCACACUAGUGAGAGGUUCUCACGAGUAGUAUUUAGUGGCGGACGGGUGAGUAACACGUUGGAACCUGCCCCGAAGUGGGGAAUAACUGCUCGAAAGAGUAGCUAAUACCCCAUAGUAUCCGGUUUAUCCGGAUUAAAGAUUUAUCGCUUCGGGAGGGGCCUGCGUCUGAUUAGCUAGUUGGUGAGGUAAAAGCUCACCAAGGCGACGAUCAGUAGCUGGUUCGAGAGGAUGACCAGCCACACUGGGACUGAGAUACGGCCCAGACUCCUACGGGAGGCAGCAGUGAGGAAUCUUCCACAAUGGACGAAAGUCUGAUGGAGCAAUACCGCGUGCAGGAAGACGCUUUUCGGAGUGUAAACUGCUUUUGUCGUCGAAGAUUAUGACUGUAGACGAAGAAUAAGGACCGGCUAACUACGUG
rnacentral:rRNA from 1 species